CCUACGGGUGGCUGCAGUGAGGAAUAUUGGUCAAUGGGCGGGAGCCUGAACCAGCCAAGCCGCGUGAGGGAAGAAGGUACAGCGUAUCGUAAACCUCUUUUGUCAGGGCACAAAGGCGGGGACUAGUCCCCGGAUGAGGGUACCUGAAGAAAAAGCAUCGGCAAACACCGUGCCAGCAGCCGCGGUAAUACGGAGGUUGCGAGCGUUAUCCGGAUGUAUUGGGUUUAACGGGUGCGCAGGGGGCCUGUUAAGUCAGCGGUAAAAGCCCGGGGCUAAACCCCGGCGAGCCGUUGAAACUGGCGGGCUGGAGUUGGAGAGAGGUAAGCGGAAUGCGCGGUGUAGCGGUGAAAUGCUUAGAUAUCGCGCAGAACCCCGGUUGCGAAGGCAGCGUACCGGCUCCACACUGACGCUGAGGCACGAAAGCGUGGGUAUCGAACAGGAUUAGAUACCCUUGUAGUC
rnacentral:rRNA from 1 species